ACUUUAUUCUCGAGAUGGUUUUAUUUUUUUAUUAUUGCUUGGCCCUAAUCCUCUUCCGCAGAAGCCCUCUGGUGCCCAGGGAAGAAAAAAAAGAAGAGAAGAGGAAGAAAAACGGGAUAAAGAUAGAGAUGCACUUUUGAAAUAUUUGAACCCCGUCCCUGCAAAUCCUGGGCCACCUGUUGCAGACAUCUUCACAUCAGCACCGCCCAGCGAUUCAGCACCAAGCACAUCUCUUCCCUCCAAUUCAGCACCACCCAGCGAUUUAGCAUCAGUUUUCAAAAAGACUGCUGCACCAUUAGACCCUGCUGACUGGCCAUCUGUUUUAAUUGAAAAGAUUGCACCCCUGAUCUGAGUCAUAAAGAACAGCUCUCUGUCAUUGUCAGGAUUGUUUCACUGGAAGAAGAAUCACCACAAAUUAAAGAACAUUUCAUGGGCUUUCUUGUGGCAGAGGAGUCAACCGGGGAAAGUUUGUCUUCUCUUAUCCUGAAAAGACUGGAGGAGCUGAACAUCCCCUUUGAGGACUGCAGAGGACAAUCGUAUGAUAAUGGUGCCAACAUGAAGGGAAAGAAUAAAGGUGUUCAGGCUAGGCUGCUUCAACUGAACUCAAGAGCCAUUUUUGUCCCAUGUGGUGCCCACACCUUAAAUUUGGUGGUAGCUGAUGCUGCUAAGAGCUCACCAGAUGCCAUUGGCUACUUUGGAUAUUUAGGAAAAUUAUUCAAACUCCUCUCAGCCUCGACCCAUAGAUGGGAUAUCCUCCUGAAACAUGUCAAAACCACCCUGAAAUCAUGGUCAGAGACCAGGUGGGAAAGCAGGAUAGACAGCAUCCAGGCAGUAAGGUACCAGGCUGGGCAAGUCAGAGAGGCUCUUCUGGAGGUGAGGGAAACUACUGAAGACCCUGUUGUGAAAGUUGAAGCCCAGUCUUUGGCUGAGGAGAUUGGAUUCUAGCGCUUUCUAUUUGCACAGUCAUAUGGUAUGACAUCCUCAACAAGAUCCAGCAUGUGAGUAAACUGAUGCAAUCACCCUCCAUGCAGCUAGAUGUGGCUGUUGACUUGCUGAAGAAAACCAGAUAUUCUCUUGACAGCUACGGCUACAGAAGUACUGGAUUUUCUAGUGCACAGGCAACUGCAAAGGAAAUGUGUGAGGAGAUGAACGUGGAAGCUGUAAUCAAACAAAAGCGGUUGAGAACCACAAAAAGGCACUUUGGUUAUGAGGCUCCAGAUGAGCCUAUUGGUGAUGCACUUAAAAAAAUGGAAACAACAUUUUUUAAUGUAGUGGUGGAUACAGCCCUCUCUUCACUAGAUGAGAGAUUUCAGACCCUCGGGGAGGUGAAUGACAAAUUUGGAGUGCUCCUCAACUUUCCCAACAUGUCCAAAGAAGAGUUGGUAGAGCACUGUCAGACCCUGAGCACAGCUUUAAGUCAUGAUGGACAGCCAGAUAUUGAUGGCAGGGAACUUGUAUUGGAAAUGCAAAACUUUCCACAUCUGCCAUCAAAAAACAUGACAAACAUUGAGCUCCUGACUUUCCUGCACAAGAAGAAGCUGACGGAAAUUUACCCCAAUAUGUGGGUCGCUCUGAGAAACUCUACCUGUUACCGUCGCUGCUGCUGAAAGGAGCUUCUCUAAGCUCAAACUGAUUAAAAACUACCUGAGAUCUACAAUGGCUCAAGAACGUCUCAGUGGACUUUCAGUCAUUAGCAUAAAUCAUGUGGUCUCCCAACAGCUGUCUUAUGAUGAUAUCAUAGAUGACUUUGCUGCUAGAAAGGCAAGGAGAGUAAGGCUGUAGAACAUUUGCUACAUUUUGCAUUCCAGUUUGUGUAUAGUUAUUUUUUUUUUUUUGUGUAUCUUUUUGUUUCUGUAUUUUUUUUCCACAAUAAUCUUAUAAUAUAAACUUAUUUAUAUUAUAUUUAUAAUUUAGUUUUGUGUGUGUGUGUGUGUUUGU